rnacentral:lncRNA from 1 species
GUGAUGAGGCUUGUGUGUGCACUGAUUGCAGCUAUAUUCCGGGCACACCUGGUCUUCCUGGUUCUCCUGGGCCACGUGGCCAGGAUGGCAUCCCUGGUAAAUUAUCUCAGUGUUCCUAAUAGGAUAGUAGAAAAUGGCAAUAUUUUACUUUUAGCACAAGAAUCAGGACUGGUAUGAGCAUGUCAGCAGCAUGCAAUAUUCUGGGUCCCUGAAAUAGCUCUGAAGUUGUGAUAAGUAUGCAUAAUACAGCUCCAUUUGCUGAUGUGAGCCUGUGUCCUAAAAGCAUUUAUGCCUGUGCACUGAGCUUAGGUGCAGCUUGAAGCCAGGUUAAUCUGUGCUCAUGUAAUCAGUGUGAAUGGCAGUAACAUUCAGUGCUGAGUGUAAUUAUCAGAGCUGUCAAAAUCUAUUUUCUUAUUUUCUUUUUCCUCUGCAAAAUAUGCUGUUUCUUUUGCAGGUAGAGAUGGAGCACCAGGUCCCAAAGGAGCUCCAGGUUCCCCAGGUGCACCAGGGCUUCCAGGAGCUCAAGGACCUCCAGGUUUUAAAGGAGAUCAAGGACGUAAGGGAUCAAAAGGUGAGCCAGGGUAUGUGUAUCCAGAAGGACCAAAAGGAGAGCAAGGAGAUCCAGGAACCAGGGGGGACAAAGGAAGAAAAGGGUCAAGUGGAAUUCUGGGAAGACCAGGCUCUAAGGGUCACAAAGGUUCUAAAGGUGAAGAGGGAUUGGCUGGUUCAAAAGGAGAUAGAGGGCAACCUGGAUUGCCUGGCAACCCUGGUCUUCCUGGAGAGAUGGGGCUUCCUGGACUGCCAGGAUAUGGACCACAAGGAAUAA